rnacentral:rRNA from 1 species
GGAACCUGGUUGAUCCUGCCAGUAGCAUACGCUUGUCUCAAAGAUUAAGCCAUGCAUGUCUAAGUAUAAGCAAAUUUAUACGUGAAACUGCGAAUGGCUCAUUAUAUCAGUUAUAGUUUCUUUGAUGGUCCUUGCUACUUGGAUAACCGUAGUAACUCUAGAGCUAAUACAUGCAUCAAUCCCCGAUUCCUGGA